CAGUAGCCGCGGGAAAACGAAGGGGGCUAGCGUUGCUCGGAAUCACUGGGCGUAAAGGACGCGUAGGCGGAUUAUCAAGUCUCUUGUGAAAUCUAACGGCUUAACCGUUAAACUGCUUGGGAAACUGAUAAUCUAGAGUAAGGGAGAGGCAGAUGGAAUUCUUGGUGUAGGGGUAAAAUCCGUAGAGAUCAAGAAGAAUACCCAUUGCGAAAGCGAUCUGCUGGAACUUAACUGACGCUAAUGCGUGAAAGCGUGGGGAGCAAACAGGUUUAGAUACCCCGGUAGUCCCUUCUCUUAUACA
rnacentral:rRNA from 1 species